rnacentral:rRNA from 1 species
CACACCGCCCGUCACACCAUGGGAGUCGAUUGCUCCAGAAGUGGGUGAGCCAACUCGCAAGAGGGGCAGCCCCCCAAGGAGUGGUUGGUAACUGGGGUG